UACGUAGGUGGCAAGCGUUGUCCGGAUUUAUUGGGUUUAAAGGGUGCGUAGGCGGUUCCAUAAGUCAGUGGUGAAAUACAAUAGCUUAACUAUUGAGGUGCCAUUGAUACUGCGGAACUUGAGUACAGACGAGGUAGGCGGAAUUGACGGUGUAGCGGUGAAAUGCUUAGAUAUCGUCAAGAACACCGAUAGCGAAGGCAGCUUACUAGACUGUAACUGACGCUGAGGCACGAAAGUGUGGGGAUCAAAACAGG
rnacentral:rRNA from 1 species